rnacentral:rRNA from 1 species
AGAGUUUGAUCAUGGCUCAGGAUGAACGCUGGCGGUCUGCUUAACACAUGCAAGUCGAACGGAAUCUUUCGGGAUUUAGUGGCGGACGGGUGAGUAACGCGUGAGAAUCUGCCUUCAGGUUCGGGACAACAGUUGGAAACGGCUGCUAAUACCGGAUGUGCCGAGAGGUGAAAGCUUAAGUGCCUGGAGAUGAGCUCGCGUCUGAUUAGCUAGUAGGAGUGGUAACGGCACCCCUAGGCGACGAUCAGUAGCUGGUCUGAGAGGAUGAUCAGCCACACUGGGACUGAGACACGGCCCAGACUCCUACGGGAGGCAGCAGUGGGGAAUUUUCCGCAAUGGGCGCAAGCCUGACGGAGCAAGACCGCGUGAGGGAAGAAGGUCUGUGGAUUGUAAACCUCUUUUGAUCGGGAAGAAGACAGUGACGGUACCGAUCG